GGUGGAGCUGGAAAGGUGGAGGCGGAAGUGACUGAUCAAUUCAGGGGUGUGGGGUUCGUUUAGGUUUUGCCCUGUGUAUGACCUCUUUUGGAGCCAUGAAACCAGGUGGCUUUUCUACAAUAUAAAGAUGGAAAUGGGAUGAAGAUGUUCAUUGCAAAUUAGGAAAGCUCUUCCACAAGUUCACCAAUGGAAAUAACAUCAAGAGUUUUUCAUCGUCUUAGUGUGCAAGAACACAGCAUAGUAGGUGACAUAAGGGCUUGAUGACUGUGUUAAAUGAAUGAAUGUUGUUAUUUUAGGGCAAUGAUGGAAAGCACCAAGUGGAGCCUGGAGCUAGACUGAUCUGUGUUCAAUCCUGUCUUGGUUACUCAUUGCGGAGCCUUGACUUUCAUGUCUCUGUAAUGUCUCUGACAGUAUCUGCCUCACAGGGUUGCUGUGCAAAUCAAGCGAGAUGUCUGAGGAAUAGUCUUAGUGGAUUAUCCCAAACUUGACACAUUUUUUGCAAAAUGCUAUACAAAAAGAAGAUACAUGUGAUUAUGACAAGAUUCUCCACUUGGUGUGACCGGUCUCAUACAACCCAAGGCUGUGUGUCCAAACGCAAUUGCACUGAAUACUGGAAAGCAUUUAUUUGUUUGCUAAAUUGCUCUCUUUCCACCAGUGAUAUCGAUUCUGAAAUACUUUUUAGAUCUUGACAAUAAUCAAAAUGUAGCCAGGUGCAUUGGGGAAAGCACUGACAUCGGCGUCAGAC
rnacentral:lncRNA from 1 species